rnacentral:tRNA from 1 species
GCCUGGGUGGCUCAGUCGGUUAAGCAUCUGACUUCAGCUCAGGUCAUGAUCUUGCGAAGUCUGUGGGUUCGAGCCCCACAUCCAGCU